GAUGAGGUGGCUGAGUAUGGUAAAGCAGCAGUUUGCUAAAUUGUAAAGCGCGGGUUCAAAUCCCGCUUUCAUCG
rnacentral:tRNA from 1 species